rnacentral:rRNA from 1 species
GGCUCAGAUUGAACGCUGGCGGCAGGCCUAACACAUGCAAGUCGAACGGUAACAGGAAGCAGCUUGCUGCUUCGCUGACGAGUGGCGGACGGGUGAGUAAUGUCUGGGAAACUGCCUGAUGGAGGGGGAUAACUACUGGAAACGGUGGCUAAUACCGCAUAACGUCGCAAGACCAAAGAGGGGGACCUUCGGGCCUCUUGCCAUCAGA